AGCUUCGUAGUUCAGCCGAUAGAACAUUUGCCAUGUUUAGGCAUGUUGCUCAUGUCGUUGGUUCGAAUCCAGCCGAAGUCC